rnacentral:rRNA from 1 species
AAGUCGUAACAAGGUUUCCGUAGGUGAACCUGCGGAAGGAUCAUUAUAGUACAACGGAGGCACCUGGGCUGUUGCUGACCUCAAGGUCGUGCACGCCCGGAGUGCUCUCUCACAUCCAUCUCACCCCUUUGUGCAUCAUCGCGUGGGGCCCUCUCCUUUGGCUUGUUCCGGAAGGGGGGGGGUUCACGUUUUUACACGAACAACCCAUUAAUGCAUGUGUAGAAUGUCUUACUUUUUGCGGUCACACGCAAUCAAUACAACUUUCAACAACGGAUCUCUUGGCUCUCGCAUCGAUGAAGAACGCAGCGAAAUGCGAUACGUAAUGUGAAUUGCAGAAUUCAGUGAAUCAUCGAAUCUUUGAACGCACCUUGCGCCCCUUGGUAUUCCGAGGGGUGCACCCGUUUGAGUGUCGUGAACACCCUCAACCUUCUUGGUUUAUCGACCGGGAAGGCUUGGACUUUGGAGGUUUUUGUUGCUGGCCUCGUUUGAAGCCAGCUCCUCCUAAACGAAUUAGUGGGGUCCGCCGUGCCGACCCUCGACGUGAUAAGUACGCUUCUACGUCUUGGGGUUUCGCACUGUCGCCUGCUUCCAACCGUCUUCGAAUGAAGACAAUCUAUAGACCUUGACCUCAAAUCGGGUGAGACUACCCGCUGAACUUAAGCAUAUCAUAAGCGGAGGAAAAGAAACUACAAGGAUUCCCCUAGUACUGCGAGUGAAGCGGGAAAAGCUCAAAUUUAAAAUCUGGUGGUCUUUGGCCAUCCGAGUCGUAAUUUAGAGAAGCGUCUUCCGCGCUGGACCGUGCACAAGUCUCCUGGAAUGGAGCGUCAUAGAGGGUGAGAAUCCCGUCUUUGGCAUGGAAUCCCAGGGCUUCUGUGAUGCGCUCUCGACGAGUCGAGUUGUUUGGGAAUGCAGCUCAAAAUGGGUGGUGAACUCCAUCUAAAGCUAAAUAUUGGCGAGAGGCCGAUAGCGAACAAGUACCGUGAGGGAAAGAUGAAAAGCACUUUGGAAAGAGAGUGAAACAGUACGUGAAAUUGUUGAAAGGGAAACGCUUGAAGUCAGUCGCGUCGACCGAGACUCAGCCUUGCCUCGGCUUGGUGUACUUCUCGGCUGACGGGUCAGCAUCGAUUUCGAUCCUCGGAUAAUGGCAAGGGAAAGGUAGCACCUUUUUAGGUGUGUUAUAGUCCUCUGUCGCAUGCGAGGGUCGGGAUCGAGGAACUCAGCACGCACCUCAGGGUGUCGGGGCCUUGGCCCACGUUUACGUGCUUAGGAUGCUGGCGUAAUGGCUUUAAACGACC